rnacentral:lncRNA from 1 species
CGAUGGAGCAAUCAGUGACACAUUUAGUGUCUUACAGGCAUAGCCGUCGUCAUCCGCGACGAUCUCUGUCUCCUCCACCAGAGCGACAAUCUCGACUCUCUCAACGGAAUGAGCAACGGCACUCGCGGCACUCUCGAUGUGCCACCCACCAUUCAUGGCACCCCUCUCCUUCCCAGUUAGAUCGAGCAAGGAAAAAAAAAGACCGCGAACACUGUCUGUCUCUCCCUCUAAUUCAUCGGAAGGAUCAACCUCUAGAGUCUCCCACCACC